CUCCUUAAAUUUAUAAAAAUAUUUUAAAUUGUUUCACAAGGAAUUUUAUGAGCCAAACAAAUAAUCAAAGAUAGACUUUGUUAUUAUGUAGUUAGCCAUUAGUUGGAGAACUUGACAUGGAGAGAAGAAUAAUCUCAAUCAUGUCUAACAAACCUCCACGGGAGGCAUACACCUUUGAUAUGCUAAAACCUAAUAUAUAUAUGUCAGGGUUUGC
rnacentral:lncRNA from 1 species